UGCGUAGGCGGCGCGGUAAGUAGGGUGUGAAAUCCCUCGGCUCAACCGAGGAACUGCGCUCUAAACUACCGUGCUCGAGGGAGGUAGAGGUGAGCGGAACUUAGGGUGGAGCGGUGAAAUGCGUUGAUAUCCUAAGGAACACCGGUGGCGAAAGCGGCUCACUGGAUCUCUUCUGACGCUGAUGCACGAAAGCUAGGGUAGCAACG
rnacentral:rRNA from 1 species